rnacentral:rRNA from 1 species
UAAUACAUGCAAGUCGAGCGGACAGAUGGGAGCUUGCUCCCUGAUGUUAGCGGCGGACGGGUGAGUAACACGUGGGUAACCUGCCUGUAAGACUGGGAUAACUCCGGGAAACCGGGGCUAAUACCGGAUGCUUGUUUGAACCGCAUGGUUCAAACAUAAAAGGUGGCUUCGGCUACCACUUACAGAUGGACCCGCGGCGCAUUAGCUAGUUGGUGAGGUAACGGCUCACCAAGGCAACGAUGCGUAGCCGACCUGAGAGGGUGAUCGG